GAUGAACGCUGGCGGCGUGCCUAAUACAUGCAAGUCGAGCGAAAAGACGAGGAGCUUCCUCUUCUGACGUUAGCGGGGGACGGGUGAGUAACAGGUGGAUAACUUACUUAUAAGACUGGGAUAACUUCGGGAAACCGGGGCUAAUACGGGAUAAAAUGUGAAACCGCAGGGUCAAACAGGGAAAGACGGUCUUGCUGUCACUUAUAGAUGGAUCCGCGUCGCAUUAGCUAGUUGGUAAGGUAACGGCUUACCAAGGCAACGAUGCGUAGCCGACCUGAGAGGGUGAUCGGCCACACUGGAACUGAGACACGGUCCAGACUCCUACGGGAGGCAGCAGUAGGGAAUCUUCCGCAAUGGGCGAAAGCCUGACGGAGCAACGCCGCGUGAGUGAAGAAGGUCUUCGGAUCGUAAAACUCUGUUAUUAGGGAAGAACAAAUGUGUAAGUAACUAUGCACGUCUUGACGGUACCUAAUCAGAAAGCCACGGCUAACUACGUG
rnacentral:rRNA from 1 species